CUACCAAGGCCAAGACGGCUAGGGGGCGUGAGAGCGUGACCCCCCACAAUGGGACUGAGACACGGCCCAUACUCCUACGGGAGGCAGCAGUGAGGAAUAUUGCACAAUGGGGGCAACCCUGAUGCAGCAAUGCCGCGUGAGCGAAGAAGGCCUUCGGGUUGUAAAGCUCUUUUCUGGGUGAAGAGCGAGGACGGUAGCCCAGGAAUAAGUCCCGGCUAACAGGAUGCCAGCAGCCGCGGUAAUACCUUGGGGACGAGCGUUAUCCGGAAUCAUUGGGCGUAAAGCGCAUGUAGGCGGUUUGGCCAGUUGGUUGUGAAAGCUCAGGGCUUAACUGUGAGAGGCCAGCCAAGACUGUCAGACUUGAGCGAGGUAGAGGAGAGCGGAAUUCCCGGUGUAGUGGUGGAAUGCGUAGAGAUCGGGAGGAACACCAGUGGCGAAAGCGGCUCUCUGGACCUUGACUGACGCUGAGAUGCGAAAGCGUGGGGAGCGAACGGGAUUAGAUACCCCGGUAGUCCACGCUGUAAACGAUGGUUACUAGGUGUAGCGGGUGUCAAGUCCUGCUGUGCCGCAGCCAACGC
rnacentral:rRNA from 1 species